CCUACGGGUGGCAGCAGUGGGGAAUAUUGCACAAUGGGCGCAAGCCUGAUGCAGCCAUGCCGCGUGUGUGAAGAAGGCCUUCGGGUUGUAAAGCACUUUCAGCGGGGAGGAAGGCGUUAAGGUUAAUAACCUUGUCGAUUGACGUUACCCGCAGAAGAAGCACCGGCUAACUCCGUGCCAGCAGCCGCGGUAAUACGGAGGGUGCAAGCGUUAAUCGGAAUUACUGGGCGUAAAGCGCACGCAGGCGGUCUGUCAAGUCGGAUGUGAAAUCCCCGGGCUCAACCUGGGAACUGCAUUCGAAACUGGCAGGCUAGAGUCUUGUAGAGGGGGGUAGAAUUCCAGGCGUAGCGGUGAAAUGCGUAGAGAUCUGGAGGAAUACCGGUGGCGAAGGCGGCCCCCUGGACAAAGACUGACGCUCAGGUGCGAAAGCGUGGGGAGCAAACAGGAUUAGAUACCCGUGUAGUC
rnacentral:rRNA from 1 species